CCAGCAUUGUGAAUUCAAAAUUGAAAGAAAAGACUCUUACAGGUUUUAUUCUACAGCUGCAAUAAUUGUGAAGACAUGCUGCUGUUGCUGCACAUCUCAAUAUUAUAACAUAUCAAGGCCUUUCUGCAGGGCGUCUAGCUACACCUAAGAGCCAUUCACAGUCUGGGAAUGUUCUUUUUUUGGAAGCAAAAUUUAACACUAUCUUUGGGCUACAUACCUGAAGAAAUUUCUUCUACUUGAAAGCACCUGUGCUCCCCUUCCUUAAUUUCACUUGCUCUCUCCAACUGAGACCUCUUCUCAUGCUUAGUCAUUCAGCAACCAGAAUUAGUUGUGGUCGGCUGCUGUAGUUAAUUGCGCAUAGGAAGUAAUGCUAAUCCAUUAAAAUAAAGAUCACAUGGAGCAGAUGUCUAUCACAUCUAGUCCUUAAUUUCAAGUCAUUCUCAAACUGAGAACUACAAAUAAAACAGUAGGCAGUGAAAAAGGCUGUGAAGGGAACUGUGGAGCAAAGCCAAGCCCACCAUCGUAGAAACUCUACUACAAGAAUAUCGAUAGAUGCAAUUGGCAGAGAUUUAAAGACAUUCCCUUUCCCCUAUGAGCCACCAAAAAGGAAGAGGAUGUGUUCUGAUUUUUGAAAAUUUUCUAAAAAUAAAGGAGAUACCAAUAAACCAAGGAAUUUUAAGUAGCAGCUGCUUCACUCAAAGCUGACUGCAAUGAACUGAGGGCUUUACAGACCAAGGAUGUUUUGAAUGCUGGUGAUGCUGGAGGUGGGGAGCAUCCAAAAAGGAAACAAGAGAAUCAUCUUUAGGGGACACGGGGACCGAGACUCCUUGAACCGUGAAGUUUGACUGAGCAGCUGAUGCAGGUUUAUCUGAGAUGCUGAGCUGCCUGCUGUUUGUUUAUCCUACCCUUCUCAAGGAACCUGCACUUUGUGCUUAUUUUCUGUAAAUAAACAAGAUUACACCAAAU